rnacentral:rRNA from 1 species
CUCCUACGGGAGGCAGCAGUAGGGAAUCUUCCGCAAUGGACGAAAGUCUGACGGAGCAACGCCGCGUGAGUGAUGAAGGUUUUCGGAUCGUAAAGCUCUGUUGUUAGGGAAGAACAAGUACCGUUCGAAUAGGGCGGUACCUUGACGGUACCUAACCAGAAAGCCACGGCUAACUACGUGCCAGCAGCCGCGGUAAUACGUAGGUGGCAAGCGUUGUCCGGAAUUAUUGGGCGUAAAGCGCGCGCAGGUGGUUCCUUAAGUCUGAUGUGAAAGCCCACGGCUCAACCGUGGAGGGUCAUUGGAAACUGGGGAACUUGAGUGCAGAAGAGGAAAGUGGAAUUCCAAGUGUAGCGGUGAAAUGCGUAGAUAUUUGGAGGAACACCAGUGGCGAAGGCGACUUUCUGGUCUGUAACUGACACUGAGGCGCGAAAGCGUGGGGAGCAAACAGGAUUAGAUACCCUGGUAGUCCACGCCGUAAACGAUGAGUGCUAAGUGUUAGGGGGUUUCCGCCCCUUAGUGCUGCASSUAACGCAUUAAGCACUCCGCCUGGGGAGUACGGUCGCAAGACUGGAAACUCAAAGGAAUUGACGG